ACGCGGGGUUCUCUGUGGAAGC
rnacentral:miRNA from 1 species